rnacentral:rRNA from 1 species
UUAUCGAAGAAUGAGUGACAGUAGAUAAUGUAAGCCUCGGCUAACUACGUGCCAGCAGCCGCGGUAAUACGUAGGAGGCAAACGUUGCUCGGAUUUACUGGGCGUAAAGGGUGAGUAGGCGGACUUAUAAGUCUAAGGUGAAAGACCGAAGCUCAACUUCGGNAACGCCUCGGAUACUGUAAGUCUUGGAUAUUGUAGGGGAUGAUGGAAUUCUCGGUGUAGCGGUGGAAUGCGCAGAUAUCGAGAGGAACACCUAUAGCGAAGGCAGUCAUCUGGGCAUUUAUCGACGCUGAAUCACGAAAGCUAGGGGAGCAAACAGGCUUAGAUACCCUGGUAGUCCUAGCCGUAAACGUUGUACACUAGGUGCUUCUAUUUAAAUAGGAGUGCCGUAGCUAACGUCUUAAGUGUACCGCCUGAGGAGUAUGCCCGCAAGGGUGAAACUCAAAGAAAUUGACG